UUUUUUUUUGUUUGGCCUGAAUGCGCGCUAUAAUAUGUCAUACAACAUGACACGAUUUCCAAAUUCUAUGCACAUCUCCUUGGCGAAAUUCUAAUUACGCUACUGAUUAAUUUAAUAUUAAUCCGUCUUUGUGUAUUCGCACAUUAUACCACUAUUAUAAUUAUUAUUGUAUUAUCAUAUGUGUAAGGAUACAGAAUUAUACAUUAUCAUUAUGAUACACAGUUUGCGUAAACUACAUUAAAAAUAUAUCAAGUAUUAUUCACAUUUCUUGUUUAACGAUAAAAUGUCCCGGAAUAGCCGUUUAAGUCAAUAAUAUAAUAUUACAUGCGUCGGGCUCUGAACUCCUAUUAUAACACUGUUUAUGUUGAUUUCAACGAGAUGAUAAUAUAAAAUUAUUGUUCUUU